CUCGUUCGGAGCGAGCGGCGGGGAGCGCGGGUGGACGCGGGUCGGCACCAUGGAGCGGGCGCUGAAGGGGCUGGGGCUGGUGCUGGUGCUCGUGGCGCUGGUCGGCUCGCAGGAGACCAAACAGGCGCCCACGGUGCAGGUGUACUCCCGCUACCCCGUCAAGCUGGGCACCGAGAACGUCCUCAACUGCUACGUGGAGGGCUUUCACCCUCCCAAGAUCGACAUCACCCUCCUCAAAAAUGGCGAGCCCAUGCCGGGCGUGAAAUACUCCGACAUGUCCUUCAGCGACAACUGGACUUUCCAGCGCCUCGUGUACGCGCCCUUCACGCCCACCAAAUACGACGAUUACACUUGCAGGGUGAAUCACGUCGCCCUCCCGGAGCCGCAGACUUUCAAAUGGGGUAUUGUGGACUUUCUUCUUGCCUUGUGAAAGAAUUAGUAAUGGACAGAAAAGACUUACUUCAGAUCCAGAGUACUAAGCUGUACGUAGGACAACUGUGGUUCUUGAAGAUUGAAAUGAGCUUAAGCUUCUGUCCUUUCUGUGUGUCCUGCUUGCAGUUGUAACAGAGAAGAGGAAUCAUCUUGAUCGCUUAUCAGAUUGCUUCUCCAUAGACUGCUGUCUGCAAUGGUUAAUUCUUAGCAUGAACUCAUUGGAUGAUAUUCCAUAGUAAAGACAAGGAAUUAAAAUGCUGAGGAAUUAAGAGGAGAGGAAAGGCAGGCAGCGGACUCUGUGCCCUUGAGGCAUAUGGCAGAUGAUCUGCAGGCAUAGUAAUGCUAUGGAAUCUGCUCAGAAUUGGCACUUCAAAAUGAAUUGAUUGGUGAGGAAAUUCAAUUUUGUAAAUAAUUUGAUUGUUCUAAGAUAUGUGAUUUCAUAUUGUUCAUACAUUUAAAAGCUCUGCUCAGUUGUAACAUCUGCUUGCCCUGAUAGUUCUGGCUGCAGCCACAGCUCUCUGGAUUGGUAAGAGCACUUGCAAGAACAACUUCAAAGCUUUUCAUUAAAGCAUUACCCUUUAUUGCUGGCAGUGUACUAGCUAGGCAUUCUUUGGGCAUAUAACUGUAUCUACAUUACGGAUUAAAAGAUUGAGUAACUUUUUUUUUUAAUAGUCUGAACUGUACUGAAUAUUUUAUCCAAAUAUAAUUGGAAAAUUUAAGUGAAUUUUGUCUUCCUGAGUAGGAGGCAGAUAUUUUACUCAGGCCUUUCCUGAUGAGCUUCCGGAGUGCUGCACGCCUGCUUCUGCCUCUGCUGGUGUCAAAUAAAGGAAUUCUAAUACCC